rnacentral:lncRNA from 1 species
CGUUAUAUGCUGUAUUGUUUAAUAGAAGUUACAAUAGGAUAAAUGUACAGUCAAAAUCAACAUGCUAAUUUCUAAUGCAAUUUAACCUGUAAACCAUGCAGUCCAUGUUUUAAUCAGUCCAUCUCUUUUCUCUCUUCUUUUAUUCAGUAGCUCUGCUAGUGAGUUUUAAGGAAAAAAAACAAAGUUCCCUUUAAAGUUAAACCUAAUUUACUAAAUUUUCCCCUUAUUGUGCAACGACUUGUGCAAAAAAAGCUGUUUUCACCACAUUAGUUUACAAAAUCACGUCCUUUUCCCCCCAGAAAAAAAUAAAUGAGAAAAGGCAACACAAGCAGCCAGUGGAGUGGGAGGGAUGGGGAUGGGGCGUUGUCAUGUCAAAGUGAAACCAGAGGGAUAAGCCAAGGCAGAAAGCAACUCAGUGCAAACUAGAUUCCAGGAGCCCAACCCCGAGCUGCCCUUUGGGGUUUUGGGGUGCUGCCCCCCCAGUUGGAGGAGCUGCAGGUGGGAUGGAUGUUGGCUCUGGUCAAAGCUCCCUCAACAAGAGAGGGGCUAGAGACCAGAGCAGGAGCUUUGGAGUGAAGCAAAUCAACCGUUCCCCAGGUCAGAGCUGAGUUCCUCCCUCUCCAUCCGGUGUUUUCAGGGUGAAUCCCAUCCAGAGCACUGUAUUUGGGUUGCUCCCCUCCAAUGCACUCAGUUGACAGCAGAGAUGGGCCCAUCUUGAAGUCAUUUGCAAUGAGAUUUAUUUGUGAGCCGUGUUCCCAUCGAGCUUCCCAGCAGCAUGAUCAACACGAGUCGUGCUAGUGGGGACACACAUGGGGUCUGUGGGCACCACGGAGCCAUAGGAAAUGGGGCACAGAGACCCCCAGCAGCCCCAUAGCUUCCAGCUGGGGUGUGGGUUUGAUGCUCCAAACCACCCGAUGGUCUAAAAAAGCACCAAACCCAACCCAGAAUGAAAGGGAAAAGCCAAACGGAGGUGUGGCGGAGAGGUAGGAAGCAACGAAGGGCAAAGAUUUCUCUGCCUGGGGUUUGAACACCGGUUUGAAGGGAUGCUGGAGGGACACCUACCACAAACCUCCCUCACCUGCCACUUCCCAUCAUCACUACUUUGGGAUUGGGUAAUAGAUUUUACCCUAAAACCAGCUUCAAUGCAGGAGGUGCCAACAGCAGCCGAUGCUAUUGGAGCAACUGCAACUCCAUCUCGGCUCCCGCUUUCCACGCUGCCUCCCAGCAUCUUGCAACCAGUUUGGGGCCAGCAUGCAAACACCAACGCCUUCUGCCCAAACAUCCCUUUCUCAUAGCAGCACAAAAGCAGCCAAUUUUGAAGGAAAGAAAAACCAAACCAGCCCCUCGAACAAAGCAUCAGCCAGUUUCUCCCUCCCUAUCCCCAUCAGAGCCUGGAGCUGCGGUUGGAUGUAGAACAAAGUGCAAAAUUGCCAAGAGCAUCUGACUUGAACUCCAGCCCUCGGAAUAAAAAUGAAAUGAAACAAAACAAAAUAAACCCCAGAAAAUAUCUCCUCUUUUCUCUCGCACAUGCACACAUGCUGAUGUCUAACAGAGACCAUUCGCCUCAUGAAUAGGUCCGGUUUGGGCUGCACGUUAGCACUUUAGAGACCUUCUAUAAAAUCAUUCCCAGCCCCUGAAGACUUAUGAAGAAGAUAAGAUGUGCAGAUGCUCCUCAUGAAGCCAAACUGGGCUACUUCUGUUAUUUCCUUCUUUUUUCCCCACUGGUGCUGAGCUAUGUUUGCUGGGUCAGGGAAAAGGUGGGAGAUAAACUGAUCUUUUCUACAGCCACUGCAUACAAAAAUCCUAAGGAAGGUUCAAAGUAUGUACAGGAGGUGUUAAUAGCAGCAUUACUGGGUUUGGGGGUUGGAAAUCUUCAAUCACAGCAGCGGGUUCUGCCUCUGUUUCUUACCCCCUGUAUAAAUUUAUAGCAACAACCUUCCCCUCAUAAGCGAUACCAUCCGUAUCGGAGGAUACCAAUCAUUAGUAAGAGAUUUAGAGGGGAUUUGAAAUGUCUUCCAGGGCUUUUGAAGCAAUCUGUUUAAAAGAUUAAUUUUAUUUUGAAGGGAUGGAACUGCAUCUCUCAGAACAAAAAGUUAAUUAGGACCAGAGCACCAAAAUGCCAUUUUUCAUCCCGGGCUGUGACUUGCGGUUAGGCGCUUGACCUCCUGAAAUCAGAAACUCGCUGAAUCUCUCCCUUGGCCGAGUCUGACUUUCCCAGCAGCAAGUCCUGAGCGCCAGAAGCCGGUUUGCAGGAUCCCAAUCCUGGCCUCUCCAAGCAGAGCUGAAAGGAAAUCCAUCCCCAUCAGGCAUGGCAAUGCUGGGUUGUUCCUCUUUCAACUCAAGCUCGGUGGAGAUGGAACAGGGAGCCCAGAUGUGGAAUGGGGAAGGCUGGGAGAUGUCUGCAGCGUCUGAAACAAGGUCUUGCCCCAAGACUCGACUGCUUUUGGGUUUUUACGCUUUGGGGUUUUGUGCAUUAUCUAAUACCAUUACCUACUGCAUUACCUUGUGCAAUGCAAUAUUGGGGUCAACUCUUGUGGGGGGAAAAGAUGGAGUUUCAAGGCAGUGGCAGCACAAAGUCUCUUCCCUGUGUCUCAGGGACCAGAGGUGAUGCUUGCCUUCCUCCUCCCUUCAUCCCACACCUAAUACAGAGGAGAGAAAACCUAUCCAGGCUGCAAAGCGCCUGCCUUGCCUGGUAGCAAAGGCAGCAGCUGACAAAAGUGAUUCAAAACUGUGUUUGACAGUCUAUCCUCCCACUAAUAAAACCUGGGAACUCCAGAGUGCCUUAUCUGUCAUGCUGAUGCUCAGUGAUGCCAGCAUCCGUAGCAGCUUGAUUCUGAAGGAUUUUAAAGUGCUUGUUACUGUUUAACGGCCCUUAACUGAAGUGCCCUGUGGACUGAAGCUUCCACUGGUACUGUCACCCUUGGGUAGCUGGGAUUUUGGUUUGGUCUCCAUCAUCUGGGUAGGAGCUCAGGGCUGGUGCUUGAACCAGCCAAUUCCAACUGCUUUUGCACCUCCUUUGCACUCUUGUUCCCAUGUCUCUCCCAUGGUGGCACCAUGGGACGGGGAGGAGGAACAGAAGUGCCCAAUGGUCCUGCAGCUUCUGGGACAUGCCUGGGUUGGAGGGUUGAAGGGUCUCCCAUUGCUGCCAGGACCAUAAGGACUAGUCUGCUUCCUUCUUCCAGCAAUUUGGCAAGGAAGAGUUUCCUAUCGGAGUCUGGAAAGUCAAGCAAUAUUUCCUUCUUAUUUGUGUGGGAUUUGGGAUGCCAAGAUUGAGCUGGGAUGCUCAGAGACUCCCAGGUGAAGCCCACAGGCUGGUUCAUGCUCAGGUCCACCAUUUUGGAGAGCAGGAAAGAGGUCGCCAGCAGCGAAUGGACUGAGUUCGUUUCACUUGUGCCCCUGAAAGCCUUUGCUGGGUCAUAUGUAGAUGUAUCUAUGAAGAUGAUUCCAUUUCUGACCACCAACUUUCAGCUACUUCUUUUUUCCUCCAUCCUUCUUACAUGUACUUUAACGAAGCGUUAAGAAGAAAGUAAGGUCUGAUCCCCUCCUAAAAAAAAGGAAUCAUAAGGCCAGGUUUGGUUCUUCCCUCUUACUAAUGAAAAUAAUCCCUUGGUCCUCGUGGCUGGAGACUGCUGGGAUAGGACAACAGCCCCAGAAGGUCAUUGCUGACAAUGUGCCCAUUUACUUCCAGGGUUAAGUAGCACGUACCCUUAUCAAAAAGAAAACAACAACAAAAAGGUAUUGCUGAGGAACAAGAAGGGAAGAUAAAGCACCAUCCCCUUCAUGCAUCCAGAGCUGGAGUGUUGGAAUUGCUCCCCAGAUAAGCAGCACACAGCAAAAGGUGCAUGUGGUCAGCGAGGGACUGAAUGCACCAAGGAAGUGCUGCUGCCCUCUCCAAAUGCAAUGCAGGGAUGUUUGAACAAGUCCUGCCCCUCCAUAGCUUCAGGAGUCUGCGCUGAGGGAGGGGAAGAAGAAGGAACCUUGUUCCAUAGGUCAGCAAAGCAAAACCUUCCACUCCCAGAGGGGUUUGAGGGCUGAGCACCCACCACCUUCAAAUGAGGGUAGGAAACGGGCAUGGCUCACACCCACCUGAAGCAGCACUUGCAGGGCUGUGACAUCCACCAGGAAGAUUUUAAUUCCCUAUAACAUCAUCUGGGAGGUGGGGGAACGGGCUCGGGAUAAGCUUUCACCUGCAGUAAUUAGAGCCAAAAGGGUAAUGAGAAGAUAAGGGCUAAAGUCCCCUCUCCCUGUAACCUGAACCCUGGGAUUAAAGUCCUGUUGGUAGCGAUACCAUCCUCCUCAAAGGCUGUCUUGAUGCGAGUGGAGGAUGUUUGGGCACCUUCAGAGCAAAGGGGGAUUUUGUCCAUAGGCACUUCUGAGCUGGGGACAGCUGAGUGAUGCUGCUCCAUGGGGCAUCUCCUGCUGCAUCUCCACUUUGGGGACCUCUAACAGGUUCCUGCUUGGUGUCCUGGCCACUGGUGAGUUUGCAGGGCUGCUCCUCACAUGGCACAAAGCAGGGUGCUUGUGGGAAGCAGAGGAACCAUUGCACCGUGUCAGGAGGAGAGGGAAGACGGGACAGCAGCAUGAA